UCGGAACGUAUCCAUAAGUGGGGACAACCUAGCGAAAGUUAGGCUAAUACCGCAUACGCAGGAGACUGGAAAGUGGGGGAUCGCAAGACCUCACGCUUUAGGAGCGGCCGAUAUCAGAUUAGCUAGAUGGUGAGGUAAAGGCUUACCAUGGCGACGAUCUGUAGCUGGUCUGAGAGGAUGAUCAGCCACACUGGGACUGAGACACGGCCCAG
rnacentral:rRNA from 1 species